rnacentral:lncRNA from 1 species
UCUGCAAUCGUCUCCAAUCCAGGAUAUUUGGAACUUCUGGUGCGAGCCGGGACGAGAAGAGCUGGCGCCACCUCCAUCCACGGACUCGGUCCCCCAAUUCCCUUCGACAUACCGUGAUCGCGAUGCUCGAUUCUGAUUCCGAUUCGAGAGCUUAAGCUUUGGUCGAAGAGAAAGAGGUCAGCUGGGUUAGAGCUCGACUGGCUUUGAGAGAGAGAAUGAGAUUUGCUAGGUUGGGUGGCGAAAAUUGCAGGGCGAGGGGCGGUUGUUUUAUAAGGGGAGGGCGAGGACGAGUGGGGUUACGAUCUCGUGGUGUUGGCUUGUGAAGAAAAGGUAGCGUUUGUCGCUACUACUCGUGGAAGCUUCGUCCCUUUUCUUCACUUCGACUGGUCGCCUGAAAGGCGAGGAGCACGUGGGAAAUAACAUCCCCCGGGGGGUCGCUAGUGGUGAUAGCUUCCAUUGUGACGGCAGUGGCAUCACCAGGUGGAGUGAGCCAAAAGACCAUUGGACUAUCAUGAUUGCGUGGGCGAAUUUUCAGUUGACCCAUCACCUUUCACGACAUCAUUUCCUUUUGCCUUCAUUCCAUUUUCUCAGGGGCAAUUGCGAAAAAGUUCAAAGCCUAUUUUACAGUGAUUUUUUAUUCAUUCAUCAAUUUUUUUCUUUUUAACUUAAUCAUUUUAAUCUUAAACCAUUUGAUUAUUAUUGAUAUAGUUGGCUAAAUUUGAUUGGAAAUUGUCGGUGUGGCCAUCGGUUGUCUUACAUUAUACAAUCGGCGAACUAAUGCCAUCUAGAAAGUAUUCACAAUUUUUUAUAAAAUUUUUCUAAAAUAUUAAUUGAUUUUUACUCGUGUUUUUUUUCUUUUCACUAUUCAUUUUUCGAACGGGGUCAUCGAGCCCUCGACAAUGGCCAACAACCCUUGCCCAUGGCCAAAUCUAAGUCACCGACCAUUGCUAAGGCUCCAGUGACCCUGACCAGCUAAAUCUGCAACUUCUAAAUUCGCAACUUCGUCACCAUGACUCCAUUUAUGAUCUGUGACAACAAAGUUAAGGCAAGGAUCACUGACCACAAAUACAAUGGAGAGGGUCGGAAGCCUAGUAGUGGUCCCCUUGGAUGUGGUGUCAGCAACUACAUCAGUGGUGAGGGUGAAGGGAGGCAUUGAUAUUUCUCGAGGUGUUAGGUGGAGGUGAAAAGGAUAUGGAUGGGGAUUUGUGAUUUUAUUCAUCUAAUUCCAUAUCAAUAUAUACAUAUCAAUUUGCAAUUGGUUUAGAAUAGAAAAAUACACGCCGUCUUAGUUAUUAACGUGACGCUCGCGCUCACUGAAUACUUUUCUCGUCAUUGAUGUAUGCGUUUGCGAUGGCUAGGGCAAUUGGUGGAAAGAGACAGAUGAUCCCUAGACAAUUAGUCCGAUGUUUAUGCAAGUGUCCUCUUGACAAGUCGAUCCCCAAAAGAUGCCUUUGGAAACUCUUUCAAUCGUGCAGCCAAUGAUUUGUCUUAUUGAUUCCAAAAUGGUCAUUUCGCAUAUCAUGCUUCACUCAUUUCCCACACGUUUUGAUAAAUGCACUUUCCUAUGCACUUUCCUCCUCCGUUACCACUUAGGAUGACGAUGACUAUAACAAGAUGGGUGUAAGAAAUGUCUAUUUUAUAAUUUUUAAAAAGAAUUUCAAAUAGACUUGAAAUUGGACAAGAGAGGAGUUUAGGGGUAUAAUCUCGAGAAUUGCUUCAUAGAUUGUUAGAUGAGGCUUAUCAGAAAAUGGACAUGAACCCUAAAAAUUUAAUCUGUCGCUGCAAACAAUGGGCAUCUUCAAUUACUAUCAAAAUUUUCUGUGAACUCGAUGGGUGUGUUGUUGAUAUGAGCUCCAAAAUCGAAGUAGUUGCGCUCACAUCAACACCCGCAAGAUAAUGUUGGAUCUCGGUCCCCUCUUAGAUGAGAAGUUCCAUCCCAGAAAUGGAUUAACUGAGAAAAUAUUGGGCACCUGGGGGCAUCAAUUUCGUAAAAUACUAGUCUAUUCAUAACUCUUUCUCUCUCCUCUCUCCUUUGUCUGUUAGUUUUUCCUCCCUCUCAUUUCUCUCUUGCACUUGUUUUUUACUCAUCUUCUUUUUCGUCCAUCAAUCUUCUCUAUUUAGCACUUGCUUUAUUUCUUUCCUAUUACAUCCGCCAUGGCUAGAGCUCGAGCUGAAGCUUGAGGCUCAUGGCUGCUUUGGCCAACAACCUCAAAUCCAAACUUGGGGUAGCCUUGGCCACUUAAGUCUUGAGCUCAGCCUCAAACUAGUGGCAAUGGCCACUUGAGCUUUGAGCUCAUCAUGAUGGUGGCCGAGCUUUGAUCUCCCUGUUGUAAUUAUGGUGGGUUAAUGAAUCAACAACGAAUGUGAGUGAAAUGAGAUGCGUUGUUUCUAUUCACGUAUCUCAUUAAUUCAUGUAUUUCUCGAGUUCAUGUAUUUCUUGGAUUCAUAUAUCUACUUAAUUCUUGAUUCAUGUAUCUGUUGGAUUUUUGUAUCUAAUUAAUUCAUGUAUCUAUUAGAUUCGUGUAUCUAUUUAUUUCAUGGUUCAUGUACCGUUUCUAUAUAUGAAUUCAAAAACUCUAUAAGUAAAUUUAUAAAUCUUCAUUUUGAUGAGAAGCAAAAAUCACCAAUGAUUCAUCUCUUCAAGUUUUCUCUAAGUGUGACGGUUUCAAGAAGUGUUCGACUGAGUCCUAUUCAUAUAGUGCUGACACCAAUAAGUUCGAGGUGUUAUUUUUUGGGAGGCAAAGUUUGUGAAGUUACUUAACACUGUUAACAAAAACUAAUCAUCUUAAAGAGAUUUGUUUAGCCGUACCUCACUUGCAAUUAUUGUUUAUUUUGUUGUCGCUUUUUUUAUCUGGACAAUGAAUAGUGUUAUGUAUCUUCCGUCAAUAUGUGUCUUCUUCUCCUCCUAUUCUUUAUUUUCCAACACUCCCAUCCAUGGUCGCUAGAUUAAGGCACUUGAGGACACGAAUCAAGACUUGAACCUAGAGCUCGAGGUCAAAGCAGCCAUGGUCGCUUGAGCACGAGCUUGUGACUAUGGUUGCUGUAUCUAGAGCUCACAACCUCGGUUACUUGAGAUCAAGCUCUAUGGCCAUGGCGGCUGCAAGCCUUGGACUCAAGCUCCGCAGCUGCAGGGUGCAAGGAGAAAAAAAAGAAGGAAAGCAAGUGUAGCAAAUGAGAGAGAAAAAAUGAAAUGGUGAUGGAGGGGGAAAGAGGGGGGAGAUCGUGACUGGGAGGUGAGUCCGCUUGUGACACGUGUCGCAAGAUGAAUAGACUUUUUUUUUUUUUUUUUGAGUUGACAUUAGAGUUGUACAUAAUAUUGAGAUUAUACAUGAGAGGGAAAUUAUUGAAAACGCAUGUAUUCCAAUUGAAUCGUAACUUAAUAAUUUAAAUUUUUAAAUAAAGGUGAAUUUAAUUAAAUAAAUUAGUGGGCUCAGAUAUAAACUCCCUCUCAGUGAUCUCUUAAGGUGAGGAUAUCAAUUUCUUUAGAGCACUCCCAACAACAUAGUACAUAAACAGAUACGAAAAUUUUUAUGUGAUUAUCCAUUUAGUAACGUUGAUCCGCAAAAGAUACCCUUAUGACACUUUUUGAUCGUGCAUAAAUCGUACACCUUACUGAUUAAAAAAUUGUCGCUUCACAUAUCAUGCGCGUUGCUUAUUUUCCACUCAUCCUUGAUAACCCGCUAUCCUUUUCCUUACCCUAUAUGAUGACAAUAACAAGAUGGGCGUAAAGUACCAAAAAAAAAUGUCUCUUUUAUAAAUUUGGAAGAUUUAGAAAUAUUCUUUGUAGUAUGUAAGUGUCAUUGCACUUAACAAGGAUAUUUUGAAGAUCUUACGAAAUUUAAAACUAAAAAGUGAAAUAUUUUUUGUCCUCUUAAUUUAUUUAUUUUUAAAUAGUAAGAAACGUUUUAUUAAAUCCAAUUGUUAGGUCCUCUCUUCGGCCUUCAUAUCCUUGGGAAAUCAAAUUGGACUUUGCGAGCUCAUGGCUCGACAAUUGAGGUCCGUCCAUGGGAACUUCUCCACUUCACUUUGGUUUCCCUAAUGGAAUAAACUAAGCUUUCAAUUUGAUACAAUUAAAGCAUUUUUUUUAUCGGGAUGAGAUGAAUAUUCGGACCAAUCAUUGAUGUGGUAGACAUGGGGCCAAUUUUUUAGAUAAUCCGUCCUUGUCACACAUCAAGUCAUGGAUCACCCCAAAAUGAGCUAGACUUCGAUUGAGAUGCACCCUUUAAAACAAAAUUUGCGAGCUUAGAACAUUAAAUAAUCAAUAUAAUGAUUUUCAUGGCGGUCCUAACUCUCAUCAAAGUCACUUGAAUUGAAUAUUUCAAAACAGUUGAAAUUUACACCGUUAUAAAUGAUUCAUUUGAGUCAUAAUUACAGUCCAUUGAGUCGAAGUCAGUCUUAUGGAAGGAUCAAUUCUCACCACAAAUCUUUUGAUGAGCCGAUGUAAAUAAUUUCGGGUGCAUUUGAAUUGACUAUUAUUUUUUUUAAAGUUUUCACUUAAUUCAAAAUUUGUUAGGUAAGGUAAUGAAUUUCUUCUUUCUAAGAUUUAUCGAAAUUUGGAUUAAAUUUUAGAAUUUGAAGGGAGAGGAAAGAUGAUCCUUUUGGAGAACAAAAGGUCAUUGCUUAACGCUAAAAACUUGGCUUGGAUAGACAUGAUCAUAGGCAACAAAAAAAUACCACCAAUCCACAUCUUCCCAUCACCGACUAAACUACUCACAACAACAUCACAACUUCGCAGUGCGCGAGCUUACGCACAGAGCAAAGGGAAAAAGAAUUUAAGAAUAAGAGUGAGCGAACUAGCGACAGACUCCUAAAAAAGAAAAAUGAGAAUCUGCUAUUCAUCAUCGACAUCCUCAGCUUCCUGGUCCUCUGCAAUCGUCUCCAAUCCAGGAUAUCUGGAACUUUUAACGCGGGCCGGGACGAGAAGAGCGGGCGCCACCUCCAUCCACGGACUCAAUCCUCCGAUUCCCUUCGACAUUCUGCGAUCGUGAUGCCUGGUUCCGAUUCCGGUUCUGAGAGCUCAAGCUUUGGCCGAAGAGGGAGAGCUCGACCGGGUUAUAGCUCCAGUUGAAAUCGCUGGGAAAAAGGAGAGAGAGGUUGCCGGGUUGGGUUGUGAAAAAUGGGGGGCGGGAGGCGGUUGUUUUAUAGGGGAGGGCGAGGGCCAGUGGGGUUUCGGUUUCGCGGUUUUGGCUUGCG